UAGCUUUGUGUUUCUUGUGCCAUGAGAGCAUUCGUUCAUUCUGCAAGAGAGAUUCGUGAAAGGUUCUUGGACUCUUCCAAAGAAGAAAUUUUUUAUUCAAACCUCCCUAGACAUCUGUUACUGACUACUAAUUCAAAAUAAAAUAGAAUUCUACUAUUAGCUGGAAACAAGAUGCCAGCACUUCAACAGUGAGUGCAUCCCCCUUCUCACUAGCGUUGUUCAUUAUGGGUUAUUGAAGAAGCCUAUGUUUCUUUCUGAGGUAUCUUGUCCAAAUUGCUCCCAGUCCGAUUCUUUUGUUGUAUGUGCUUGGAUGGCCAUAUGCUUCAUUCUCACACAAGCUGAAAGGCUCUUUUCUUUAACUAUG
rnacentral:lncRNA from 1 species